GGGGGGAGCGCCCAAUUUUGGGCUGUGUCCCCCAGCGCCCUGGGCUCUGGGGUCUGCACUGUUGGAAUCGCUUUCCCGGCACUGCGCAGCCCCUU
rnacentral:pre_miRNA from 1 species